CAGUUGGUUAGAGUGCCGGCCUGUCACGCCGGAGGUCGCGGGUUCGAGCCCCGUCACUCGCG
rnacentral:tRNA from 1 species